rnacentral:lncRNA from 1 species
AAAUAUAUGGUCAAAUAAAUACAGUGUUUCAAUCAUUGUGGAUUUAUGGUCGCGUUGCUGGACAAUAACGAAUGUUGUUUCACACAUUCGGUGUUCUUAUAGGUUGUAAGAUAAUAUCAAAUCUACCAAUCCUUCCAUCACAAAAUCUACUGAUUUUGCAGACGCAUUUUCCUUUUCCUUCCAUGGAGCCCUAGCAUUUCAUGAUUGAAUUGUCAGCUAUAUAAGAAUUAUAUAGACAUGACAGUCCAUCAGCUAUGUAGAAUGGCCUCCGUGAGCAUCACUCAUACCCAAAUUGGCUGGCACAAAUCUCAAAGAAAAAAAAUUGGCUAGCACAAGUGGGGUCAAAACUGCAGCUUCUGCACCGCCUUCUACCUCCUUGAAAUGAAUAAGUGUAUUCAAAUAGAUGAUCGCCUUGCCAUCCAGUGUUUGAACUCGCCUAGUGAUGACAUGUUUAUUUUAUCGCUCUACCCCCACAAGAGUCAAAUGAGGCAUACUGUUCAUAGUUGCAGUUUGUCCGACAACCUGAAAAUUUCAGCAAAGUACUUAAUCGUAGAACUGCAUUUUCAACAAUUUAGUUGCAAUUCACUUUUCUUAAGUGGCCAAGACUGUUAAUUUAUAGACAACCUGAAAGUGUUCAGAAGUUUCAUACAUCCUCGUGCUCUAUGCCCAAAUGUAUAUUGAUAAUUCAACCAGUUCCCGCUAUCAUUGAGUUAUUACUUAAGCACCAAAAGGAGUCCCAUUUCCACCUUCAAUCAAAUCAGCAUACAGGGCUUGAAACUAAGAUAGCUGGGAAUCCUAGUAUUAGGACCAGACGUUAACUUAUUAGCAAUGUAAGUAGUAUCCCAGAUAGUACUUGAACUCUCCAUGCCUCCCAACCAGUGCAAGUCCUUUUGUUUCAUUGCCUGCAGUGUUAAAGGACAUUGAUGUGAAUUCGACUGAGCUCAUGCAUUGGUUCAAAUGGAUCAACAUGUAGACUUGCAGUGCAUGACAAGCCUCUAGAAUCCAAACGUUAUGAAACCAAUUUAUCUAUUUUUUAAGCUUGUCUGAAUAGUCAUUUUACUAAAAAUGUGAAGAAAAUAAAAAAUGGAUAAAAUUUUGACGACACUCACCACAUCCAGUUUCCAUGAAUAACCGUGAAGCCAAAGAUGUUGAUCAGCAAUUGCAUCUAAAAUGUAGCACACACAUAAAGCAAAAUAAUUAGUAUUUUGCAUCUUGGGGCAUCAUUAGUAAGCAAAGCAAAAGGAUGGACUAAGCAAGUCUUCACAAUCUAAGCUGUGGGGGAGCAUGAACCAGAUAUUAGGAGGGGCCAAAAUGAGUGUAUGACAUAAAAAAGGCUAGGGUGAUCAGAGACGCCGGAGGGUUAGUAGAACGAUUAGCAGAAAUAUAAGCAUAUUUGGUAAAAUUUCCUCUAGGAAGGGAGGUGGGGGCAAGGACCAGUAGUGUCCCGCCUAUGCUCCAGUACUGCAUCCAAGGUUAUCCCUUUGUACAUUUCACUGAACUAUUCUGCAAAACAUGAAGGACGAAUAUUUUAUCAGCAUAAUUGCUAUGAAAGAAAGAUUUUGUACACACAAUUCCAUUGUUCCGCUAGUAAAGGUAUCUUAAGUGAUAGGAAUUUGAUUAUAUUUUUCUUAGAAUGCACAUCAUCAUGGUGAGUCCUGGAUUUGCUGCACUCCCUCAAUGCAAGCUGUACAAAUACAAAAUGGCAUGGGAUUCUAGAAAAAUAAAGGGGGUGUUGAACAAUCUGAACAUACACUCAUACACAUAUGUGCAGUAAAGUUAUACAAAACAAAUAAAUUUUUUAUUAUCUACAUCUUCUUAGUUAGAUAUAUAAGAGAAUACCAUCACAAGUACUUGAGAACCUCAAGAUUCAACCUGACAUCAUCCAAGCUCCUGAUUU